CGCGGCAGCUAAUGGUGUUUCCAGAGCCUCCGGUUUAACACUAGGAUGAUACGGUUUUCGAGUCCUUCCCAUAUCGGCUCAACAGGGCCAAAAGGCCGGAGUCCACCCUGACGACUCUGAUGGCUCAAAUUAGCAUCCCUUCUUCAAUUGUAAAUG